ACUCCUACGGGAGGCAGCAGUGGGGAAUAUUGCACAAUGGGCGCAAGCCUGAUGCAGCCAUGCCGCGUGUAUGAAGAAGGCCUUCGGGUUGUAAAGUACUUUCAGCAGUGAGGAAGGUGGAGUCGUUAAUAGCGGCCUCAUUUGACGUUAGCUGCAGAAGAAGCACCGGCUAACUCCGUGCCAGCAGCCGCGGUAAUACGGAGGGUGCGAGCGUUAUCCGGAUUUAUUGGGUUUAAAGGGUCCGUAGGCGGAUUAAUAAGUCAGUGGUGAAAUCCCAUCGCUUAACGAUGGAACUGCCAUUGAUACUGUUAGUCUUGAAUGAGGGUGCAGUGGUUGGAAUGUGUAGUGUAGCGGUGAAAUGCAUAGAUAUUACACAGAACACCGAUUGCGAAGGCAGAUCACUAACCCUAAAUUGACGCUGAGGGACGAAAGCGUGGGGAGCGAACAGGAUUAGAUACCCUGGUAGGAUAGCGU
rnacentral:rRNA from 1 species